rnacentral:rRNA from 1 species
GACGUUAGCGGCGGACGGGUGAGUAACACGUGGGUAACCUACCUAUAAGACUGGAAUAACUCCGGGAAACCGGGGCUAAUGCCGGAUAACAUUUAGAACCGCAUGGUUCUAAAGUGAAAGAUGGUUUUGCUAUCACUUAUAGAUGGACCCGCGCCGUAUUAGCUAGUUGGUAAGGUAACGGCUUACCAAGGCAACGAUACGUAGCCGACCUGAGAGGGUGAUCGGCCACACUGGAACUGAGACACGGUCCAGACUCCUACGGGAGGCAGCAGUAGGGAAUCUUCCGCAAUGGGCGAAAGCCUGACGGAGCAACGCCGCGUGAGUGAUGAAGGUCUUCGGAUCGUAAAACUCUGUUAUUAGGGAAGAACAAAUGUGUAAGUAACUAUGCACGUCUUGACGGUACCUAAUCAGAAAGCCACGGCUAACUACGUGCCAGCAGCCGCGGUAAUACGUAGGUGGCAAGCGUUAUCCGGAAUUAUUGGGCGUAAAGCGCGCGUAGGCGGUUUCUUAAGUCUGAUGUGAAAGCCCACGGCUCAACCGUGGAGGGUCAUUGGAAACUGGGAAACUUGAGUGCAGAAGAGGAAAGUGGAAUUCCAUGUGU